AGAGCAACAGGGCAGGAAGCUCACCAGCUCAGGAAGCCAGGCCUGGCCAGCUCCUGGUGUGGUGGGUUGUGAACGGAAGCAAGUCCUGGCUUCCCUAUGGACCCCAUUCCCCGUUUAGAAGGGCCCCAGCCCUGCUCCUCAUGAUGGUAACCGGGGAAACAACGGACAUGCCUUCGGGACGUGAAAAAGGACAGGUUGGGGCAGCAGAGCGGUGGCAGUAGGAGAUACUAGGGAUCAAGGCUCACUGGAGGAAUCGAAGGCAGGUGCCGUGCCGUCUGCCCCACUGUCCUGCAUGGGAAACACCUCCACAAACUCCUUCUUGAAGACCGACAACAGGACCACAUCCCUCUUCAGGACUCCCCUUCCCCCAUUAAUCCCUCUCUAGGAACCCCCCCAAGGAGUGUCAGUAGUGCUGGUCCAAGCACCAUGAAGACUGGGCUAGAGAACCUGACAAAGCCCUGUGACCCUGUGACACCUGCCUCUGGACCUCCCAGCCACCUGUCUGACACCUGCAGUGUCUCCAGGAUCUCAAGCUGUGACCCUGAGAUGUCCCACACCAGACCUCCCAGCCGCCUGCCCAGCACCUGCAAUGUCCCCAGGAUCUUCAGCUGUGACCCUGUGACACCUGCCUCUGGACCUCCCAGCCACCUGUCUGACACCUGCAGUGUCUCCAGGAUCUCAAGCUGUGACCCUGAGGCGUCCCACACCAGACCUCCCAGCCGCCUGCCCAGCACCUGCAGCGUCCCCAGGAUCUUCAGCUGUGACCCUGAGACCCACCGCACCAGACCUCCCAGCUACUUGCCCAGCACCUGCAGGAUCUCCAGAAUUUUUAGCUGUGACCCUGUGACCCCUACCCCAGAACCUCCCACCCACCUGCCCAGCACCUGCAGUAUCUCCAGGAUCUCAAUCUGUGACCCUGCGACCCCCACACCCCAGGACCUCCCACCCACUUGCGCAGCAUCUGCAGGAUUUCCAGGAUCUUCUGCUGUGACCCUGUGACCCUCCCCCGCCCCAUACCUCCCACCCACCUGCCCAGCACCUGCAGGAUCUCCAGGAUCUUCAACUUGGUCUCCAUCACCACGGUGUGUUCAUUGUCCUCAAAUUUGCUUCUGUCCAGCUGCUCGGGGACACCCACUCCAUCAGGCAGGCUAGAGGCACCAAAUACAGACUGCUUGCGGCUCAGCA